rnacentral:rRNA from 1 species
UACGGGGGGGAGCAAGCGUUGUUCGGAUUUACUGGGCGUAAAGGGCGCGUAGGCGGUCAGCACAAGUCAGUUGUGAAAUCUCCGAGCUUAACUCGGAAAGGUCAACUGAUACUGUGCGACUAGAGUGCGGAAGGGGCAACUGGAAUUCUUGGUGUAGCGGUGAAAUGCGUAGAUAUCAAGAGGAACACCUGCGGCGAAGGCGGGUUGCUGGGCCGACACUGACGCUGAUGCGCGAAAGCCAGGGGAGCGAACGGG